AAGAAAGAAAGAAAGAAAGAAAGAAAGAAAGAAAGAAAGAAAGAAAGAAAGAAAGAAAGAAAGAAAAAGAAAGAAAGGAAAGAAGAAAACAUCCUAACAUCCUGACACAUGCUGCAACCUGGAUGCACCCUGAAGACAUGAUGCUCAGUGAAACAAGCCAGUCACAGAAAGACAAAUACUGUGUGAUCCCGCUCACAUGAGGUCUCUGGAGCUGUCAGUCAUAGAGACGGAGGUAAGAUGGAGGGUCCCAGGGGUAGGGAAGGGGAUGGUGAGCUCUUUAGUGGGGACAGAGUUUCAGUUGGAGAAAAUGGGAGCAGGGAUGGAGAUGAUGGUGGUGACAGCUGCACAAUGCUAUGAACAUACUUAGCACCACUGAACUGUGCAUAAAAAAUAGUUAAAAUGGUAAAUUUCAUUGUGUAUAUUUUACUGUGGUAAAAAAUAUCUAAAAAUCAAACAGCAACAACAACAAAAAUAGAAGGCCAGGUUUACAGACAGAACCUUGGUAGGAUGUGCUCAGUCUACCUGAACUCCUGCUCUCACGCGGCCUCCUGACACACAGUGGUGAGAAGAGCCUGGUGUCCGAGGUCUGCUGAGCAAACUUGGACAAGCCCUGGUCCCCUUGUGUCUACCUUACAGGCCUAUUGCGAGAAGCAAAGGAUGCCACGUGAGGGGAGUCACCAUUGUGCAGAGAGGUACGCAGGCCAGCUACUGCCUUCUCACAUCGAGGACAACUGAGCAGCCCCGCAAGUGAUGGAUGGAACCCCGCAUGGAGACUGCACCCCCAACAGUCCCAGAGACCCACGUGAAGAGGCCAGCUGACAAGUACCAACAGUGUACUUUUAAAAUGAGCAAGUGGAAGGCAGAGAGAAACACUGAUGAGAUGGCUCCUGUGGAACCUGUGACCUAUUGAUGCAAGUUGUCUGCUGAGAUGCACCUCCUCUGAGAGAAGAGAAAAAAGUGGGAGCUCUGCCACUGGCUGAGGGAGGGGAAUGCUGCAGCCUGGCUCCCUCCUCAGGAUGUUCCCAGGAGAGUCCAGGCCACCCCAGCAGACUCUGUCCCUGUCUCCUUUCACAUGAAUUUCCAUGGACACCUCAGCGCUGUGGGACUCAGAUGUAGGACCACAUUUUCAAAACAGCCUUCGCCACUUGCAGUGUCAGUAUAGCAAAGGCAGAUGGAAGCAGCAGUGAGAAUAGCAAAGAAGGUGGAAUAGUUACAUUUACUGUGUGUCGGUUAAUAGUAGGGAUCAAGAGAUAUAAAGGAAGAAUAUUCUGGAAAUGAUUUUAUUAUCAAAGCUGCAGAUCCAUGAUGAGUCAUCUGCUUAUUGCUGUGUUACAUUCCUUUGAGAAUAACGGUGUUUUGGUUUGCUUCCUAA